rnacentral:rRNA from 1 species
UACAGAGGGUGCGAGCGUUGUCCGGAAUCACUGGGCGUAAAGGGCGCGUAGGCGGCUUGGUAAGGUUGCGGUGAAAGCCCGAGGCUCAACUUCGGGUCGGCCAUGGAUACUGCUGCGCUCGAGCACUGUAGAGGCAGGUGGAAUUCCGGGUGUAGCGGUGGAAUGCGUAGAGAUCCGGAAGAACACCGGUGGCGAAGGCGGCCUGCUGGGCAGUAGCUGACGCUGAGGCGCGACAGCGUGGGGAGCAAACAGG